GUGGCCCCAAGUCAGGCGAGGCCACCCGCCGAGUUUAAGCAUAUAAAUAAGCGGAGGAGGAGA
rnacentral:rRNA from 1 species